rnacentral:ncRNA from 2 species
GCUUAUAAUAAAAAGUUAGGUGCUUAACGGCAUAAAGGGAACCGGAAGCUGACUUCAAUGGUUAGCUGAGUCCGGACUGUACCCGCAACUGUAGGAAAGAUAGCAUUAGGCUAUUUUUCAAGUCAGAUACCUGCCUAACUGAAUGUUGUUCG